GCUAUUGACUAUAAACAAGCGCUUAGUGGGAGGCAACCCACUGGUAUG
rnacentral:sRNA from 1 species